rnacentral:rRNA from 1 species
CGAGCGAAUGAUGAAGAAGCUUGCUUCUUCUGAUUUAGCGGCGGACGGGUGAGUAACACGUGGGCAACCUACCUAGUAGAUUGGGAUAACUCCGGGAAACCGGGGCUAAUACCGAAUAAUCCAUUUUGUCACAUGGCAAAAUGCUGAAAGGCGGUUUCGGCUGUCACUACUAGAUGGGCCCGCGGUGCAUUAGCUAGUUGGUGGGGUAAUGGCCUACCAAGGCAACGAUGCAUAGCCGACCUGAGAGGGUGAUCGGCCACAUUGGGACUGAGACACGGCCCAAACUCCUACGGGAGGCAGCAGUAGGGAAUCUUCCACAAUGGACGAAAGUCUGAUGGAGCAACGCCGCGUGAGUGAUGAAGGUUUUCGGAUCGUAAAACUCUGUUGUAAGGGAAGAACAAGUACGUUAGUAACUGAACGUACCUUGACGGUACCUUAUUAGAAAGCCACGGCUAACUACGUGCCAGCAGCCGCGGUAAUACGUAGGUGGCAAGCGUUGUCCGGAUUUAUUGGGCGUAAAGCGCGCGCAGGUGGUUUCUUAAGUCUGAUGUGAAAGCCCACGGCUCAACCGUGGAGGGUCAUUGGAAACUGGGAGACUUGAGUGCAGAAGAGGAAAGUGGAAUUCCAAGUGUAGCGGUGAAAUGCGUAGAGAUUUGGAGGAACACCAGUGGCGAAGGCGACUUUCUGGUCUGUAACUGACACUGAGGCGCGAAAGCGUGGGGAGCAAACAGGAUUAGAUACCCUGGUAGUCCACGCCGUAAACGAUGAGUGCUAAGUGUUAGGGGGUUUCCGCCCCUUAGUGCUGCAGCUAACGCAUUAAGCACUCCGCCUGGGGAGUACGGCCGCAAGGUUG